rnacentral:misc_RNA from 1 species
GAUGAAGAACGCAGCGAAAUGCGAUAAAUAAUGUGAAUUGCAGAAUUCAGUGAAUCAUCGAGUCUUUGAACGCACAUUGCGCCCCCUGGUAUUCCGGGGGGCACGCCUGUCCGAGCGUCAUUGCUGCCCUCAAGCACGGCUUGUGUGUUGGGCCCCCGUCCCCCCCUCCCGGGGGACGGGCCCGAAAGGCAGCGGCGGCACCGCGUCCGGUCCUCGAGCGUAUGGGGCUUUGUCACCCGCUCUGUAGGCCCGGCCGGCGCCUGCCGACCACCAUCAAUCUUUUUUCAGGUUGACCUCGGAUCAGGUAGGGAUACCCGCUGAACUUAAGCAUAUCAAUAAGCGGAGGA